CGGUUCAGCCGGAGGCGGUCACGUCCAAGGUGAGCGACCCGAUCAGAGUUACGGAUCCGGUUACGGUGGUCAGACGGAGGCUGAGUACGGUAGGAGACCUGAAUCGGGGUACGGCGGAGCGACGGAGACGGAGUAUGGCCGGAGACCUGAGCAGAGUUACGGAUCUGGUGGCUACGGUGGCAGAUCGGAGGUUGAGUCUGGUGGUUACGGUGGCAGAUCGGAGGUUGAGUCUGGUGGCUACGGUGAUAGAUCGGAGGUUGAGUCUGGUGGAUACGGUGGAAGAUCGGAGUCUGGUGGUUAUGGUGGAAGAACGGAGGUUGAGUAUGGCCGGAGACCUGAAUCUGGAUAUGGUGGGAGAUCGGAGACGGAGACCGGGUACGGAUCCGGGUAUGAGAAGAAACCGAGCUUCGGCGAGGAGAGGAGCGAGUAUGAGCGCAAGCCUAGCUAUGGAAGGUCUGAGGAUCAAGAGGAAGGAGGUUACAGGAAGCCUAGCUAUGGGAGAUCUGAGGAUCAGGUUGAGAGCUACAUAAAGCCCAGCAGCUACGGGAGGUCUGAGGAAGAGGAAGGAGGAGGCUAUAGGAAGCCUAGCUAUGGAAGGUCUGAGGAACAGGAGGAAGGGAGUUACAGGAAGCCUAGCUAUGGCCGUCGUAAUGAUGAUGAUGAUGAUGAGGAGCGCAGGAACCGUUCUGGUGAUGAUGAGGAAGGGAGCUAUGGCCGCAAGAAAUAUGUAAGUUCAAUAAGUUAAAGUUAUAGUCAAUUUGCAUCUAGAUUAUUGUGUGGAAAAUAAGUUUGAUUGUUUAAACAUAAAACCCUUUUGUUGAUGGACUGAUCUCAACAUUGAAACUAAAGAUUAUAGUUUUGGUGAUAACACCCAUUACCCCCUUUAACUUCAUUGGUUCAGUAUUUGAUUUAACAGUGACAUCGUGUAGGUUAUAACAAUCAUAGUACAGAACUUACAUUGUGUUUUUUGCAUCUAGUUUGUUUUGAAAAUAAGUUUUAGUUUGGUUUUGAUCACAGUGUAGCUGUGUAACUCUGUUUUCACAUCCUGAAAUGGAUUUCCUUAAUUUGAAAGCUAUGUUCUACAAUCCCAUAAUAACGUUCCUGGUUCAAUGUUUGUUUGAAUAUAGACAUCUUGAAUAUGUCCCAUUGUUGAUCUUAGUGUAGAGUAGUCUCCAUGUUGAACUAAAGUGUUUGUCUUUCAUUCCCUGUAACUCUGUUUUCACAUCAUGGAAUGGAUUAGCCUCGGUUGAAAGCUAAGUUCAGUGUUUGAUUGAAAUUGCACAUCAUGUAUAUGACAUUUGAAGAUCAUAGUUACAGAGUAUCUAUCUCCAUUCUUAUGGUGGCCGUUAAUAGAGGCAUCACUGACUAAAGUUUUCGCUUAACGUUAUUCAUUUCUGCAUCAAAAUUUGUAGGGUGGCAAUGACUCUGAUGAUGAUGAGGAGAAGAAGCAGCAUCGUUACAAGCAUCACCACCACCAGAGGCGUCGUGAUGAAGACGAUGACUAAAGCCCUCACUCAGUGCUGGAAUCGAGUGCUUCUACUUAGCUUCAUAUUACUAAAUAAAAAGCUAAGUCAUAUUUAUCUUUGGAUGUUGUUGUUGUGUUUGUUUGAUUCUCUCUAGAUACAGCAGAGUCUGUGUCUGGGUUUGUUUCUGGUUCAUUAUAAGACCUUGAAUUGAUAUCGGGUCAUCAUCAUGAUGUAAACUGUUGCUACUCUGUGUUUCGUUUUUAUGUUAUGGAACUUUUCUCUUUUAUGGCUUCUGUUGUUUUGGUUUUGUCGAUAUUAUUAAUAUUAAAAAUCAAAAGUCAUUGCCGAGAAGGAAAAAUAUUUUGUGGUAAAAGCUCGAUUUUUUAUAUUGAAUAUUUUAUGAUUAAAAACAGAAAAAGGAAAAUCGGUUUUGUAAUAGGAAUGGGUUAAUCAGAUACCUAUAUGUACAUUACACAUCUUUUUGCUUCAACAUCAGAAACUUACAACCAAACAAUUCUAAAAGAAGCAAUGUCAAGCGCUACAGUCCUCGAUGAAUCUAGCGUUCCUAGCCCCAGGAGUACAUGGAGGUGAGAUUCCACUAAAUAUAUUGUUAUGUAACAUAAGAUUUUUGAUUAUAAACAUUAUACCGAAACGAAUUUUCUGGUUGGUUGCAGGAUGGACGGGCAGUUACGAUACGACAUUGCGAUGAACACCAUCAUUAUAAUCCUCAUCACUGAUGCGGUCUUACAUAUGACUCUGAGAGCCCACAAGAUUCCCCUUGCUGAUAACGUUGAGGGACUUUUAUGUACAUUUGUAGUUGCGUACGUGUUUGUCAUCACGACUAAUUGCGGGUAUUGGCUUACAGCAAGCGAGGAAGAAGGGUGUUUACUUGGAAUUUACAUCACGGGACGCCUUGGUCACACGUUAGGCUUUUGUAUUUUCCUCUGUCUCCUCUAUUCUAUUUCUCACUUGGCUAUGUACGUUGCUCUACCUUGUUUACUAUGGUUGGUGCCAGCCAUGUUUGCACCGUGUUGUCCAUGUCUGUGGAGAGGAGAGUCAACUUGGUGGAAUUUUGUGAAGCAACCACAACCAACAGUAGAUAUUGUUUAACUUUUGGACUAUUAUUAUUAAUAGAAUUUUUUAAUUCCUAAUUUUGUAAACAUCUCGUCAAUUGUUUGUUCUUAACUUUUCUCUCUUGCGAUCGGUGAAUUUUGUUUCCACUGUCUACCCAUAAACCUCGUGUUGACAUGUGUUUUGCGAUCUAACAAGAUAUUAUUAUGGUUUAGGGAUUGUUUUAGACAUCAAUCCUCUUUUGAUAUGGCUGAAGAAAAUUAAGAGUUCCUAGUCUUGAUUUGUUCCUGCUUAAUGUAAUUUGGGGAAAGUGAUCAUUUAUCUUUUGGUACAUUAUCAUUGUGUGUUGCAUGCAAAGUAUCAAUCUACUUGGAACUUAACAUUGCGUUAUUUGCAUCUAGCUUGUUUGGAAAAUAAGUUUUAAUUUGGUUUAAUCCCGUUGUUGAUCACAGUGUAGUGUGAUCUCAAUGUUGAACUAAAGAUAUCUUUAGUUUGUUCUUUAGAUUCUUUAUGAGUUACUACAAGCCUUUGUCUGCUUCCCUUUGGUUACAGGCUUGUCAUUACUAGUUGUAGAUCAUCAUUGAUUUUGCAGAACAAAAGAUGCAGAAGCUGUCCCAAAUAAGGACACAAGGACAUAAGUUUGUGCUUUAGAUCCUUUAUGAGUUUAUCUUCAGUUUUUGCGUUUUAGAUCCUUUAUGAGUUAUUACAAACCUCUCGACUCUUGUAAGGACAUAAGAUCUGUGCAUUAUCUGGUUACUGGCUGUACAAAGAGCUUGUCAAUUACUAGGUGUAGAUCAUCAUUGUUUCUGUUUGUUAAGAUGCAUUGAUGACACCUUACUCAUUGAUUCCCGAAACAAAAGAAGCAUAAGCUCUCUGAAAUAAGGCGUGGCCGCAAAAAUGCUAAAGUGUUGGUAUGUAGUCUAAGGCAUAGAUCGAAUAAAGCAGCGUUUUCCUUAUUGUCCCUUUGCUUUGUACAUUUUCUUAUUCACCAGAUUAGAAAAAUGGAUCUUGAAGCCAGGAGCCUUCCACCAAGCAUUAAGUCCAGCCUCCUUGUCAAACUAAGAGAGUUUUCAAGUCUGAUCUCAACAACUUCAAAAGCGAAGUCAAGAGAUCGAUGAGGUCAACUGAUGGAUUGGGUCGAACCACAGACAGAAUCAAGAGACUGAAGAGCUUGGCGUCUCAGUCCUCCAAGACUUGCACAGUCAGAGACAGUCUUCCUCUCCUACGCACUAACGACACGGUAUGUGCUCUCUUCAACAAUUUUCUCUUACACGGGUUUUAUCAUGAAGAAGAAUACUACGUGUGAUUGGCAUCUCUUUUAACCAAUAGCUCGUUCUCUGAUACAUACAGCUUAGUGGAGUAGACGACAAUGUAGGAAAAAGCAAGAAGACCUUGACAGGCAUGACUAGGAGGAUGAACAGGAACAAAUGGACCAUUGGAGCCAUUAUCACCGCUUUGGUCGCCGCCAUUAUCCUCAUCUUCUACUUCAAACUCACCAAGUAAGCCUCUGUAUCUAAACUCUUUGUCGCUGAACAAAUGGUGUGCUGUAAGUAGUAACAGCUGAUGACGAGGAAGAAGAUAGAAGGAAGCUAAGACUCUGAGGGACAAAGAGGCUUCUGCAGUUACAGUGAAGCUACUGUAUAAAUAAUAUUAUAGAGGGAGUGAAAGAGAGACUUUAUCGAUGUAUUAGCUCAUGCCUCAUAGUUCCAGUUGAUACUCUGUAUUGUGAGAGAGAGUGAUACAGUUGUAUUGUGUGUGUUAUGGAUCAAUAGAGAUUUGGUUCAUGACAUCUGGCUUUUAUCUGUGUGAUAAGUUAUGUCUUUGCCACCUUUUGUAUUAUCACGUUCUCUUGUUUGUGUUUGCGUUUACAGUUGUGUAUUUUUAUACUAAAUGAUGCAGAUUGUUUUGUUUAUUAUUAAAAGCAAGCGUAAAUUACAUUUUAGACAAUUAGAACUUAAGCCUUGAGAAUAAGAACUAGUUGUGUGUUUUUCUUUCAUUCUUGAACCUGUUAUAAUCAGCGAGCAAGCUAUCAAUAACCUUACGCUUCAUGCUAUCCACCAAACCAGUCAAAAUCUGUAUAAACCUGGAAUAUAGCUGGUUCAUAAUAAGACCUUGAACUGAUAUUGGGUCAUCAUUAUGUAAACAGCUGCGACUCUGUGUUUUGUUUUUGUGCUAUGAAAAUUUCUUAUUUUAAAGCAUAACUUCUAUUGUUUUUCUUUUGUCCAUAAGAAAAUUUAUUUUGUCGUUAAAACCAAUGUGACCACACAAAACCACUUAUCUAAUCUAAUCUAGAAACAAUAUGAAACAAGCUUACUGCCAAAGACAUACACCACAGUUACAACCACCUUUGAAAUCGACAUUCCAAGUAUAAACCAUCUUGGCCACAUGCUGUGAACAGUGGUUGAUCCUUCAGCUUCCUUACGCAGCUGUGAAGGUUCCAAAGAAGAGUGCGAUGACAAGCCACAGUAAGAACCAUCCAGUAUUGAGUUUUCUCCUCAGUGUCUCCGCUUUGUUGGCUUGUGGAGUUGUGCCAAGUUGAAGUACGUCGCCACGAAGCCAAUGUUGUUGAGCAGGAGAUAGACAGUGUAACAUCGCGUGUCUCUGAAACGUAUGUAGCCAUUUGAAUCGAGUCCACCAGGUGGACUUGAGAAGGAAGCCACCGUGGUUAGGCCACCGAUGGCCAACACGAACUUGGUAAGUUCUUCUUGCUCUUUGUAAAGAGCCUCCAAAGGAUCCUGAAAUAAAUAAAGCGUAUGUAGCCAUGUGAUGUGGACUUGAGAAGGAAGCCAAUGUGGUUAGGCCACCGAUGGCCAACACAAACUUGGUAAGUUAUUCUCGCUCUUUAUUAAGAGCCUCCAAAGGAUCCUACAAUAAAGUGUACAAAUUUUGUAACUCAAAUCUUUUCCUCAUUCUCAGACAUCUCUCGCAGAAGACAUACUAACCGGUUUGCCUGAGAAAUAUAAAACUAAAUGUUUAAAGUACAUGCUUCUUAUAAAAUCAAUCUACAACUAUUCAAUAAAACUUGAUUUGCUUUUAUUAAACCCAUUAAAAGCAUUUACACACUCAAUCACACAACUAUACUUAAAUGCCACGACUUUCUCUUGUUCUAAAUAACUUUACGUCUUUACAUGUGUCUCAUUUGUAGACUUUCGUUACUACAUGUAACAUUUUUUCCAUGACUUUCAUGACCCGAAAUGAAGCUUUAAAAGUUCGUGAAACUAGUUUUCAAUAUAACAGUUCAUCAACUUAUCAACACAUUUACCUUAAUAUUCUAUGUUCCAAUAAAAUAAACAAACUUACUGCGAUUAUCGACGAAAUGGAGCUGAGGUUGAGGAAAGUCCUUGAUUUCCUAUCUUCAACAAAAAUAAAAAAGUAAAGAAAUGUUUUGCUAUUACAACAGCUUAUGUAGUGAUUCAGAUAAAACAAAAAAAUAAACACAACCUUCUGAUUGAUGCCACAUGAAAAAUGAUCAAUGUCUCUAAGCUUCUCAUCCUAAACGCCUUCCCCAUACAAUUUACAAAAUUUCUUCUCCUCUACAACUUUUGUCGUUAUGCGAAGAUUGUGAACCUCUGUUCAUUAAAUCGAUUGGGCUUUUUUUUCUUUCUUUUUUAGUAUCAUGUGCUUAAAGAUCCUAUUAUAAUAUUCUAAGUACGUUUUUCAUAGACGAGACAUCCCAAAUUUUUAUCUUUACUUUUCCUACACCAAUUCAUAGCUAUUUAUAUUUUGACGCAAACUAUAUAAAAUCGGAUCAGUUUACUCAAAACCCAGUACGUGGCUAAUCGUAAAAGAUACAUAGAAGUAUUCAACAAAUCAUUUCAUAUCAUUCAUUCAUUCACCCACAAAGAGCUCUCAAAUUGGUUUCGCAACUACAAAACAUCGAAUCCGUUCUUGGAUUAGGGUUUUGAGAUUGAGUCUCAUCAAUUUUUUUUGUUUCUUAUUGUAGAAAAGUUUCACUUUGAGCUACAAGACAACUACUAGUGAAGGAGACCAGACAGUUCCAGAUCCGUUUCCAAAGUUGUUGGAUAUUUUAGGACCAUCUUUAGUACAUUUGUUCUUCGUCCCUGAGAAAAGAGGAGGAUCGAGUUAGGUUAAAUUUGCUACAGGUUAUGUCAAAUUGUGCGGGAGAAUGUCGGUAGUAAAAUGAACUUACUUAUGCACCUUAGUGUUUGUUAUCACACCUGAGUGUGUUGAGAUUCACAAUCUGAUUUUGAUGGAAGAAAGCGGGAAGAAACUAGUUAGCUACUUUCUUGAGAAUUCAUUUGUUCUCAAGAAACUCAUCCCGCGUUUUAGGGAUUCUUUAAUAUAUCUUACUCAGAUUUCUUCAAGGAGCUUCUUAAAUUCAGAAAGCGGUCUUGCAGUUGUCCGAUUAUUUUUCUUUGAGAAAUUGGCGAUUAGAGUUCAUUAUUUAUUUUGAUUUUGAGUAUCAUUGUGUAUGAAUUUCGUAUGGAUUGUAGAUUUUAUUAAAACCUGUUUCAUAAAGAUUUAUUUUUUGAUGGAAAAAGAGUAAACGACUUUAUAAGAUUUUGUUGCAGUUAAAAAUUAAAAGAUAAACAAUUAUAUAUUAUGUAUUUAUUUAUGAAAUAAGAAAAUUAAUUAAUACUUGAUUUGAUAUUGUUAUCUUUAAGAAAUUUUAUACAUUCCAACAUGUUAAUAAAAUUGAUUACAUUAAAUAUAUCAACCGUGGCAGUUACAGCCCCCGAUUAAAGCAUUUGAUCUAGUCAGUAGAUUUCUUGGAAAUCAAGUUUCGAUUCCAUUUCAUUUGUGCAUGUUAAACGCCGAAGUAAUAGCUGUGCUGACUUAAAACAGAUCGGAGGUUUACUGAAUUUGAAUUUGGUCGACUUUGAGAAGGUGAACAAAAUUCGACUGUGAGUUAUUUCAAAAACGUUUUUAUUGAUAAGAUGAAAAAGAGGUUACAAUGUUUGGACAUGUAAAGUAUAAAACACAAAUAUAAGUUGUUGUUUUUAACACUAGAUAAAUUACCAAUUACUAAUGAACAACUAUACAGAUAAUAAAGAGCCUACAAUACUUUGAAAUGUUCGAAGAGCUUUGCAUCUAAGAAUCUGUAAUAAACAAAAUAUAAGUGUAAAAAUCUUUAAACCAUAAUGCUUACACGAGUCGUAUUUGUUGAAAACAAAACAAGUAUGAGUCGUAUGACCUGAACAAAACAAAAUCAAAUAAUAAACCGGAUCUAAUUGACCACUAACCGGAACCGGUUCAAUCGUGAAUUGACUCAAAUCCCAUUAAGCGGCGCAUCGUGAGAAAAAGAGCCAGCAACUGUUCAAAAUAUCUCAAUAGAUAGAUCAAAAAGCAAUCAUGGACACCAUCAUUCAUUAAUAAAUAAUCCUCUGAAACCUCCGUUUGAAUUAUUUCUAUCUUCUCUCCUCUUCUCACAUCGCAUCAUGGGUGCUUCAUCCUCUACAGAUAAUAAAGAAUCAUCGGAGAAGCGAGAAAUCGAAAGCCUCGCUGCUUCCACCGGUGCUCUUCCUCUCCUUCAACGCUCUUUCUCCAAGCUCGCCGAUCCUCAGACCAACACUGUUUCCUUCCAAUCAUUCAAGGUAAUAACGGUUAGGGUUCUGAUUGUUCUUAAAGAGAAUCUGGAUUUGCAAUCACAGUAGUUUUGGGAUUUGAUCGGAUCAUGAAUUAGGGUUUUUGAGACUGAGUUUGAUAAAGAUCGAACUGUAGAUCUCUCUGCUUUAGCUUUAUAAUGAGUUUCAUCAAUUUUUUGUUUGUUUUGUUUCUUAUUGUAGAAAAGUUUCACCUUGAGCUACAAGACAACUACUUGUGAAGGAGACCAGACAGUUCCAGAUUCGUUUCCGAGGUUGUUGGAGCAUUUAGGACCAUCUUUAGUAGAUUUGUUCUUCGUCCCUGAGAAAGGAGGAGGGUUGAGUUGGGUCGAGUUUGCUAGAGGUUAUGUCAAAUGCUGCGGAAGAAUGUCGGCUUCCAUGUCUUACAACAACACUCUGUUGAGAGUUUUUCAUCUGACAUCUCAAAACGCAGGCUUUUCGUCGAAGCUGGAGUUCGAAUCUGAAGAAGCUGAUUGUAAGAUCAACGGGUCGGUCUCGACUUUAGAGUUGGUUAUGUUUCUGUGGAUGUGUUGGACGAUGUCGUGGGAUGGUCGAAGCAGUAGAUCCACCGACUUGUUUCUUCCUGAUAUAAGCCACUUGAUUAUGUCAGCGCUUGUGUCUUGCACCGAAUCUGGAACUAGUUUGGAUGUUUGGGAUUCUGAUGUUUUCGGUUUGGAACUCGAGCUUCCUGUCGGGAAAUUCCUGACGUGGGCAUUGACGACGAUUCCAAGCCUCACUGAGUGUCUAUCUCACUUCUGCAACGCGAGGCUUCAGCAUUGUUUAAAUGCAGAGGUACUCUUUCUUUACUUGUUGCUUCUCGUUUACCCGUAAGGUGUUCACUAAAAGUGAAUUACAGGAUGGAUCUGGGCCUUCAAAGUCAGCUGGUGGAGAUGAUUCUGCGUCCAAGGCAUGUGAAAACACACUUCUUACAUGUGGAAGGGCAUGGGCGAUUUCUUUGACGUCCAAGAAUACCUUAAGUGAGGAGAUCUUGAGCUCAUGCUUUCCCUGCAAUGGCGAUGAACCCAAUGAAAAUCUUCUUUACCGGUAUCCCACUAUCCUACUUCUGUGAAGGUUCUGUCUCUAUAGUGUAACUUAACGUGUUCAAUGUUCAUCUGUCUUUUAGCUCAUACCAUCAUGGGAAAGGCAUGAAUCGAUUGUGGGACAACGUUCAAGGGUAUCAUGCUCCGAUACUAUUGCUAGUUUCUGCAAGCGGUGGAGUUGAGCAGGAGGGUACUUCAAGCGAGAGGAAGUGGGUCAUCGGUGCUAUCUUGCAGCAGGGUUUUGAGAACAGAGAUACAUUUUACGGAAGCUCUGGGAAUUUGUUCUCCAUUAGUCCUGUCUUUCACGCAUUCUCAUCUUCAGGUACUGCACAGAUUAAAAAAAAAUCAUCUGCGUGGUCAGUUGUUUUGCGUUAGUAUAGUCUUAUAUGGUUUUGUGUUCAACUUCUUCAGGGAAAGAGAAAAACUUUGCAUAUAGCCAUCUUCAUCCCUCUGGUAGAGUCUAUGACGCAAACCCAAAGCCUGUUGGAAUUGGAUUCGGGGGAACACAAGGAAACGAGAGAAUCUUCAUCGACGAAGACUUUGCUAAGAUCACAAUCCGUCAUCAUGCAGUUGAUAAAACUUACCAACCUGGCUCUCUCUUCCCAAACCAGGUAACGCAAGUGCUGGUCUUUAUAUAUGUUUCAAGUUUUGUGGUCUUGGGUCUUUAUAAACAUCUGUUGUUGCAGGGUUAUUUACCAGUAGAGGCUUUGGUGUCAGAUGUUGAAGCAUGGGCAUUAGGUGGAAAAGCAGCUAAGGAAGUUCAAGAAGCAUACAAGAAACGAGAAGAGCUUUUCACUGACCAACGUCGAAAGGUAAGAAAAGAUCAAUAAGAUCUAUUUAUAUGCAAAUGCACAAAGGACUUGCAGGUUUGACAAGUGUUUAAUGUAUCUGCAGAUUGAUUUGAAGACGUUUACGAAUUGGGAAGAUUCACCUGAGAAAAUGAUGAUGGAUAUGAUGGGGAAUCCUAAUGCUCCGGCUAGAGAAGAGAGGUAAUGAGUGAGGGGACCAAGACUUGUUUGGUAUAUUUAUGCACAUACAUUUUCUCAAUAUAGGUUUUGUCUGUAAAAUUUACAUUUGAAGAAACUCAUUUGCUGUUUGCGUAAGUUAUCCCUAUGUAUACUAUUAUGUUGCCAGAACUCGAACCAGAGUGUUGAUUUGAGAUUUACCCAUAAACAUGUUUUUCUUUCCUCUGAUCCAGUACCCUAGCCCCUAGGUUUCGUACUACGUUUUUUUUUAAUCAUCAACAUAAAUAAACUAUGCAAACCAAAUUUGUAACUCGAAAGACAAUUGUUUCAUUGCACGAUAGAAUAUCCGCUUUUAAGUUUUGUGUUAUGUGUAUAUGAAUUAUCUUCGAGUUGUGAUUUUUUUUUUUCAAACCUUUGAUAUCUAUUAAAUAACUUGCAAAUGUUAGUCAUUCUUCUGGUUAUGAAACCAUCUUCACCAAUUGAAAACAAUUUGUUGUAAAAUUAACAUGAAACUAAGAUAGAUUUCUCAUAUCUUCAUUACCCAUAUGAGGGGUUUUGCUUCCGAAUGAAGUGGUUAUAGACUAACUCUAGUAUUUCUUGCCCCCGUCAAUCCAUCAUAACCCUCCAGUAUGCUAUACUACUCUUAUCAUGAAUGAUUAUUACGUUUUUUUUCCAUGAUCCAUCUGAAAAAUAUCAUCUACUUGGAGUAGAAGGUAAGGUUGUAACCUCGGCCUCUCUAUUUUGAGGAAUCCUUAAUUUAAUUGAAUCUUGGGUUUGUGCCCAAAUUAAUGAUUCUAUUUCUGCCAAUUUGAGAGUCUUUCCGGGAUCUGUCUUUAUUCCUAAACACUUUAUUAUUCGUCCCUUCCAAACGUACAAUAAUAUCCAUGCAAAUCGGUGAUUUCAAUUUGGAAAAAGCCUUUCCAAAAAAGAUAAUCCAUAUUUGUGAAUAGUGAUUCUUCUCGGAAACAAUCUGAAUUCGAUGGGAUCUUCGAAGGUGUCCAGACUUGAACCCAUAGUUAGAAACACUAUCAAACCAACUCUAAAAUACAGGCCUUAAAAUCACUAAAAUAUUGUAUUUUUUUCAUAAACUGUAUGUAUUAUGGAGAUGGUUUUCAUAAUAAGAGUUUAUCGGUGAAAACUUUUCUAUUAUACUUAAUAAAUGAAAUUAUUAAUAUUAUUAAUGAUAUAUUUGGAAAAUUGCUAUUGAGAAAGAUUGUCUUUCAAACUCAAAUGCUGAAUUUGUCUUUAUAACGUGAUUAUGCCAAAAGAUCUGACCAAUGUAAUGUUAGAUCUUUUAUCAUCAGUUUUAUUCUUUACAGAUAUGGUAAAAUCUAUUUAUAUAGUAAUAAGUAACUAUACAUAGAUAUGAAGUUUUCUAAUAACAAAAAAAAUGGAAAUAUGUUUAAAAAUCUCUAUAAUAUUAUUUAAAAAGUCAGUUUCGUAUGUGUCAUUUUUAUGUUAAUUAUUUGAAUGAUUAAUUACAAUGAUAUCCUUAAUGAAUUAUAAAAAAUAUUAUUAAUGUCAUUAUUAAUAUUUUCUUUUCUUUUUUUGAUAAUCUUUGUUAUUUAUUUUAUAUUUUAGUUUAUUUUUCUUUAUAUUUGUUUUUAAACCACAUAUAUAAAUCAUGGAAGCUCCCUUAGUUUGACUAAGUCUAGUGGUUUGACUAAGGGCCUGACUGGUUCAACCGCAGCGGUUGCGGUUGCGGGAGUUUGCGGAUGCGGGUGGUUGCGGUUUCUAGCGGUUUUAAGAGAUUUGUACGACUGGUUCUGCGGUUAAAAAUUGGUGCGUUUGCGGGAUACUUAUGACUGGUUAACUACUAAGUGCAGCAGCGGUUAAAUAAUAAAUUAACAAUAUUUACAUUUUAUAUAAUUAUAAAAAUAUCAAAAAUAAUAAUAUUAUAAUAAAUAUAAAAGUUAUAUUUAGAAAGUUAUAGUUUAAUUUUUUUAAAAAUAUAGAAAAUAUUUUUGUUUUAAAGUUUUAUAAUAUUAAUUAAAAUAUAAUAGAUAUAUUUUAGCAUUUUUAUAAUUCCAAUUUAAUUUUUUUAUUGAAUAAUUUUAUUUUUGUAUUUAUAUUGUUUUGGAAAAAAAAAAUAUAUCCUCCCUCAACCGCCCGCAACCGCAAACGCUAGCUGGAACCAGUUUUUGAAUUUAUGAGGUUCGGAGCGAUUUGGAGCGGUUUGGAGCGGUUUGGAGCGGUUUGAGUGAUUGUUGCAAAACGCCAACAACCGCUACCAACCGCAAAAGCUGCGUUUGCGGGUGGUAGCGGGAAAACCAGUCAUACCCUAAGAGUUCAUUAAUGCUUCUACACCAGGAGGUAUGGGGUUCAAACCCUAGAAAAUCAAAUUAUGCAGUGUAUUCUUAUAAGGCGAUACAAUUGUCAACAGUAUAAUUGUUUAUGUAUAUAUAUAUAUAUAUAUAUAUAUAUUAAUUUCAUAGAAAAGGAAAUUUCAUAAAUGAUAAAAUCCAUAUUUUUAAAAACAAAAAUUUCCUUUAAAACAUAAUCUCAAACAUCAUAAUAUAUAUUUUUGAGAUAAUUUUUCAAAACUAAAUUUUAAUUUUUAAUUAUUUUUUAUUUUAAUUUUUUUGAUUUAUUUUUAUUUUAAACGUUAAAAGUUUGCUAAAUACACAGCUUAUAAAGAGCAUGUGAAAUUUGAACCUAGUUUUCCCAGAACUAAAUAAACACAAAAGUCUAACUGGUGACCAUUACAUGAAUAUUAUGAAUGAGUAGGGAAAAUGUAGAGGAAUAAUAGGGGGAAUAAUAUUAGAGGAAUGAAAAGGAAAAUAUUUUCUUAUCAAUUUUAGUGAGGAACAAAUUUUUUCUAUAUUCCUCUAAAAUAAAAAGAAUGAGAAGGAAUGCAAAUGAAGAACAAUUCUUUGUAAAUGGUAAAAAAAAAAUAUGAAUAAUAAGGAAUGCAUUAUUACAUUUCAUUCUUUGGUCAUCACUUAGACCCAAAGAAAGAUGAAAUAAGAAAAUAAGAACAAAAAAAAGAAUGGAAAACUAAUGAAAAACAAAAUGAAUCUCAGGUCUGGAAUUUGCAUCUCUUCCAACUUCUUCUUCUUCUUUGAAAUCAGCAAUGUCUUCAAACAUUGUGAUGUGCUUCUUCUUUUAUGUCUCAUUGUGUUUGGCUGGAGGAAACACAUUCUCGAGAACCGACUCAAUGUUGCGCCAGAAAACACAAUUGUUUCUGGAGAAUUCGAGUUAGGGUUCUUUAAACUAGGUAAGAAGAGAUGGUACUCAGGAAUUUGGUAUAUGAGUAUAAAGAUCCAAACGUACGUAUGGGCGCGUCUCUUUGGCUUGAAUGGAACACCCAAAUGAGUUGAAAACAUGUUGUUUUGCUAGGGAAAGAAAGGAAUUUACCAUUUGGUUGGCAACUUUCCACAAAACAACCAAUUGAAAGCUUGUGGUAGCAGAUCUAUUAGAGAAUGGUAACUUCAUUUUGAAAGAUGCCUCUAACUGAACUUGUUGGGAAAGCUUCGAUUUUCCUAUUAAAACUAUUUUACCGAGCAUGAGUUUGGAAAGAGAUCACCCUUUUUUCCUUGAAAAAGCCGAGAUGAUUUCUAGUGUGUGUUGGCUAUAUAUAUCAAUUGUUCAAACUAUUCACUAAUAUACAAACAUACUCAAUGUUUAUAUAUAGUGAAACCUCUAUAAAUUAAUAAUGUUGGGACUACACCAAAACUAUAAUUUUUUACUAAUUUAUAAAGAUAUUAAUUUAUCGAUAUACUAAUUGAACCAAAAACUCAAUUUGAGACUAUAAAAUUAUAUUAUUUUAUAAAGAUUUAUAGUGUAUAUUAAUUUAUAGAGUAUUAAUUUAAAGAGGUUAUACUGUAUAUAUAUAUAUAUUGUUCGUACCUUUAUCUUCAAAUUAUUUCAUUAAAUAUUAUUCAGUGUCAUGCCAGGUGAUUGAUAACAAUAAAUUGAUAAAAAUAAAUAAAAACAAAGAAAUACAUAAUAAUCAAAAAGUAAGAAAAAAAUAAUCAAAAUAUAAGCAAAAUAAUACAUUGAACAGCAAAUACGUUGAAUUUGUAUACGUUAGAAUUGUAUAUAUGAUACCAACAAUUACAUGUUUCACAAUUUAAAGUUUCUACAAUAAAGUCAAUUUUGUGUUUCAUUUUCUACUAUUUAGACGGUACCAAUGUUUAAGAUCGCAAUGAGAAGAAGAAUAAUUGGUCUCCUCUCUAUAAGCGCUUUUAUUCCC
rnacentral:lncRNA from 1 species